GUGCUAGCCAAUCGCUGCGGUCUGUUUUCGAGCCUGCUGAUUCGUUUCGUAGACGUUUUGAAUGGCGACGUGGUUAGAGCUAAUCCCUGGAGAAAAAGCUGUGGCAUUGAUAUUCGUUUCGUUUUCCAGGGUGGUGACGAACCAAGCGCUGAAGUCGAUCCAAUCAAUUAGGUAAGCGUUACGAUAAUUACGUGAUAUGCAAGCGUGUAUCUGGCGACACCGACAUUGCAGGUCAAUCUGGUGGACUUCUUGAAGAGAUUCUCAGAAGAAGCUCCGCUUGCGUUCUUCAAGGUGAGACAUGUGUAAAUCAAGGUGUUGUUACCAAUCUGCUCUUCUCCACAGGAGCUGUCUGAUCGGGAAAACCGUGCGGUGUAAUGAGAAGUUGCCGAUAAAUUUUGUAGGAAAGAGACUAUGUGGAACGUGGAACCAAAUCCACUAAAAAAUCGAAGACCCUUUCAAUAAAUAUACUCAAGUCGGAGAAAA
rnacentral:lncRNA from 1 species